rnacentral:rRNA from 1 species
GACGAACGCUGGCGGCGCGCUUAACACAUGCAAGUCGAGCGAAGCGGCGGACGGGUGAGUAACACGUGAGUAACCUGCCUUAGACCUUGGAAUAGCCUCGGGACACCGGGAUUAAUACCAAAUGGUCUAAGAUGGACUCGCGUCCCAUUAGAGAGUUGGUGAGGUAACGGCCCACCAAGGGGACGAUGGGUAGCCGGCCUGGUAGUGUGAACGGGCACCUUGGAAGUGAGCAACGGUCCAAACUCUACGGGAGGGAGCAGUGGGGAAUAGUGCACAGUGGAGGGAACUCUGAUGCAGCGACGCCGCGUAAACGAAGAAGGCUUUCGAGUCGUAAAUUUCUUUUAUAUGGGAAGCGGUACCAUAAGAAAAAGCCCCGGCUAACUACGUGCCAGCAGCCGCGGUAAUUC